AACGAACGCUGGCGGCAGGCCUAACACAUGCAAGUCGAGCGCCCCUUCGGGGGAGCGGCGGACGGGUGAGUAACGCGUGGGAAUAUGCCCUUCUCUACGGAAUAGCCUCGGGAAACUGAGAGUAAUACCGUAUACGCCCUCUGGGGGAAAGAUUUAUCGGGGAAGGAUUAGCCCGCGUUGGAUUAGGUAGUUGGUGGGGUAAUGGCCUACCAAGCCGACGAUCCAUAGCUGGUUUGAGAGGAUGAUCAGCCACACUGGGACUGAGACACGGCCCAGACUCCUACGGGAAGCAGCAGUGGGGAAUCUUAGACAAUGGGGGCAACCCUGAUCUAGCCAUGCCGCGUGAGUGAUGAAGGCCUUAGGGUUGUAAAGCUCUUUCAGCUGGGAAGAUAAUGACGGUACCAGCAGAAGAAGCCCCGGCUAACUCCGUG
rnacentral:rRNA from 1 species